rnacentral:rRNA from 1 species
AGAGUUUGAUCAUGGCUCAGAAUCAACGCUGGCGGCGUGCCUAACACAUGCAAGUCGAACGCGAAAGUCCCGCAAGGGAUCAGUAGAGUGGCAAACGGGUGAGUAACGCGUGGGUGACCUGCCUUCGAGCGGGGGAUAACGUUCCGAAAGGGACGCUAAUACCGCAUAACAUCCUGUCUUUUAAGAGGUGGAGAUCAAAGCCUGGGACCGCAAGGCCAGGCACUCGAAGAGGGGCCCGCGUCCGAUUAGCUAGUUGGUGGGGUAAUGGCUCACCAAGGCUCCGAUCGGUAUCCGGCCUGAGAGGGCGGACGGACACACUGGGACUGAGACACGGCCCAGACUCCUACGGGAGGCAGCAGUGGGGAAUUGUUCGCAAUGGGCGCAAGCCUGACGACGCAACGCCGCGUGGAGGAUGAAGAUCUUCGGGUCGUAAACUCCUUUCGAUCGAGACGAAUGGCCUCCGGGUGAAUAGUCCGGAGGAGUGACGGUACCGAGAGAAGAAGCCCCGGCUAACUCCGUGCCAGCAGCCGCGGUAAUACGGGGGGGGCAAGCGUUGUUCGGAAUUACUGGGCGUAAAGGGCUCGUAGGUGGCCAACUAAGUCAGACGUGAAAUCCCUCGGCUUAACCGGGGAACUGCGUCUGAUACUGGUUGGCUUGAGUUUGGGAGAGGGACGCGGAAUUCCAGGUGUAGCGGUGAAAUGCGUAGAUAUCUGGAGGAACACCGGUGGCGAAGGCGGCGUCCUGGACCAACACUGACACUGAUGAGCGAAAGCCAGGGGAGCAAACGGGAUUAGAUACCCUAGUAGUCC